UACAGAGGGGGCAAGCGUUGUCCGAAGUUACUGGGCGUAAAGCGCGCGUAGGCGGGUUGGUAAGUCCGCUGUGAAAGCCCGGAGCUUAACUCCGGAGGGUCGGUGGAUACUGCCAGUCUUGAAGGUGCUAGGGGGAGAUGGAAUUACCGGUGUAGCGGUGAAAUGCGUAGAUAUUCACAGGAACUCCGGUGGCGAAGGCGGCUCGCUGGAUCUCUUCUGACGCUGAGGCGCGAAAGCUAGGGGAGCAAACGGG
rnacentral:rRNA from 1 species